rnacentral:lncRNA from 1 species
UAGGGAGUAUAGCCCUAAUGUUGGCAAAAGGCGACAAGGGAAUGGAGGCCCUAUGUCUAAAAAUGCUCAACUCAGGAAUUGGAGCCGUAAUGUUGGCAAAAGGAGACUAGGGAAUGGAGACCCUAUGUCUAAAAGGCUUAACUCAGAGAUUGGAGCCCUAAUGUUGGCAAAAUGUGACUAGUAAAUGGAGGCCCUAUGUCUAAAAGGCUCAACUCAGGGAUUGGAGCCCUAAUGUUGGCAAAAGGCGACUAGGGAAUGGAGGCCCUAUGUCUAAAAAGAUCAACUCAAGGAUUGGAGCCCUAAUGUUGGCAAAAGGCAAUUAGGGAAUGGAGGCCCUAUGUCUAAAAGGCUUAACUCAAGGAUUGGAGACCUAAUGUUGGCAAAAUGUGACUAGGGAAUGGAGGCCCUAUGUCUAAAAGGCUUAACUCAGGGAUUGGAGCCCUAAUGUUGGCAAAAGGCAGCUAGGGAAUAGAGACCCGUUGUCUAAAAAGGCUCAACUCAGGGAUUGGAGCCCUAAUGUUGGCAAAAGGCGACUAGGGAAUGGAGGCCCCAUGUCUAAAAGGCUCAACUCAGGGAUUUGAGCCUUAAUGUUGACAAAAGGAGACUAGGGAAUGGAGGCCCUUUGUCUAAAAAGCUCAACUCAGGGAUUAGAGCCCUAAUGUUGGCAAAAGAUGACUAGGGAAUGGAGGCCCUAUGUCUAAAAAUGCUCAACUCAGGGAUUGGAGCCGUAAUGUUGGCAAAAGGAGACUAGGGAAUGAAGGCCCUAUGUCUAAAAGGCUUAACUCAGG